rnacentral:rRNA from 1 species
GAUGAACGCUGGCGGCGUGCCUAACACAUGCAAGUCGAGCGAACAGACGAGGAGCUUGUUCCUCUGACGUUAGCGGCGGACGUGUGAGUAACACGUGGAUAACCUCCCUAUAAAACUGGGAUCACUUCGGGACACUGGAGCUAAUCCUGGAUAAUAUAUUGAUCCGCAUGGUUCAUUAGCCAAUGACGGCUUUUCUGUCUCGUAUCGAUGGUUCCCCGCCUCAUUAGCUAGUUGGUAAGGUAACGGCCUUCCAAGGCGGCGAUGCGUGUCUGACCUGAGAGUGUGAUCCGCCCCACUGGACCUGAGACGCGCUCCUGACUCCUACGCGAGGCCGCGGUUGGCUAUCGUCCGCAGUAGGCGGAAGACUGCCGGAGCGGCCCCGGGUGAGUGAUGAAGGUCCACGGUUCGUAAAACCCUGUUAUUAGGGAAUAACAACUUUGUAAGUAAAUAAGCACUUCUUGACGGUACUUAAUCAGAAAGCCCCGGCUAACUACGUG